rnacentral:misc_RNA from 1 species
CCUCCUUAUACGAUUUAGAACUUAUUUGUUCGUAGUGUCCACACAGAUGAUUGUUAGUUAGUUUUACCCUUUGGGUUUAACUGAUUAAUAUGCUCUUUAAAAAUUUGGAAAAGCUGAUAAUAAAAUUCUGAUAGAUACUUGGUAUUUAUCAAGAGUUUUCAAAAGUAAAAAAAGAAUGAUAGCAGUAUCAUUCAGUGCCAAUUUAAUCAUUCAUGAUUAAUUGGUAUCUACUUUAGUAUUCAAUAUUAACUUCUGGCGAAGUUAAACUGUCACUAACAAAGACCCGUUUGGGUUGUAUGGUUAAGUGACUAAGCGUACACGGUGGAUGCCUUGGCAGUUGGAGGCGAUGAAGGACGUAUUAACUUGCGAUAAGCCUAGUCAAGCUAGUAAAAAGCGCUUGAGACUAGGAUUUCCGAAUGGGA